rnacentral:rRNA from 1 species
UGAGGAAUAUUGGUCAAUGGGCGCAAGCCUGAACCAGCCAUCCCGCGUGCAGGAAGACGGCCCUAUGGGUUGUAAACUGCUUUUCCAGGGGGAGAAUUUUUCUGUCGUGACAGGAAUUGACGGUACCCCGGGAAUAAGCAUCGGCUAACUCCGUGCCAGCAGCCGCGGUAAUACGGAGGAUGCGAGCGUUAUCCGGAUUUAUUGGGUUUAAAGGGUGCGUAGGCGGAUUGACAAGUCAGUGGUGAAAACCUGCAGCUUAACUGUAGACUUGCCGUUGAUACUGUCAGUCUUGAGUGUGGUCAAGGUAGGCGGAAUGUGUAAUGUAGCGGUGAAAUGCUUAGAUAUUACACAGAACACCGAUUGCGAAGGCAGCUUACUGGGCCAUUACUGACGCUGAUGCACGAAAGCGUGGGGA